UACUCGGUUGCGUGAUUGAGCGGAAAGCGCGGACGGGUGAGUAACGCGUAGGCAACCUGCCCCUUGCAGAGGGAUAGCCUCGGGAACCGGGAUUAAACCUCAUACGCAUCAUGGAGACAUCUUCGAGAUGCCAAAGAUUUAUCGGCAAGGGAUGGGCCUGCGUCUGAUUAGUUAGUUGUGGGGUAACGGCCUACCAAGGCAGCGAUCAGUAGCCGACCUGAGAGGGUGAUCGGCCACAUUGGAACUGAGACACGGUCCAAACUCCUACGGGAGGCAGCAGUGGGGAAUAUUGCACAAUGGGCGAAAGCCUGAAUGCAGCAACGCCGCGUGAAGGAUGAAGGCCCUUGGGUCGUAAACUUCUGUUCUAAGGGAAGAUAAUGACGGUACCUUAGGAGCAAGUCCCGGCUAACUACGUGCCAGCCGCUGC
rnacentral:rRNA from 1 species